CUUCCUGAUAACUUUUUUUUUUUAGGAAGAUUGGCCCUAGGCUAACAUCUGCUGCCAAUCUUCCUCUUUUUUCCUUUUCUCCCCAAAGCCCCAGUACAUAGUUGUAUUCCCUAGUUGUAAGACAUUCUAGUUCUAUGUGGGACAUGGCCACAGCAUGGCCUGAUGAGCAGUGCUAGGUCCGCGCCCAGGAUCCAAACCAGCAAGCCCUGGGCCACCGAAGCAGAGUGUGCAAACUUAACCACUCGGCCACAGGGUUGGCCCCCACAAGGGUCUCUUCUGAUUCUUACCUUUUAAGUUCCAAAUAUGGUUUGGGUCUGCUGCAGACCAUGUGAGCCUGGACCUCCUAGAGAAUCUUCUCUUGCUCAAGACUCCACUUGUGGGUAGUAGAUUGGAGGGCUACCCGGUAAAUGCAUUUGGAGCACGAUACCCAAGUGUAAGUGCUUUCACCAAGGUUUCAAGAGGCCUACAGUGCUUUGUGCACAAUGGGGUAGAGAGGCUACAUUGGAGGACAAGCAUGGUUUGUGUUUUACUUGUGGGGAGAGGUUUGCUGACCCCCAGGAACUUUGCUGAGUGAGCAAAAUUUUUCCCAGGAUUUCUCUCCCCUAUCAAACAUAAGUGUUUUACCAAAACACUCAGGAUUCCUGUCCCUUCCAAUUCUCCAGGAUAAGCAGCAUGACAUCAAUGAAGUGGACCACCGUGAUUUCUGGGGGGUAGGUGAUCAAGGUCUUGAGGAUUGGGUUGUACACAACUUACAGCUGUUCACUUCUUGCGCUGGGUGGUGAUGGUCUGCUGCUGCCAGGGGAGAGCAAAUGCUUGUAGUGGUCCAAGUGGACAGGAGAAGAGAAGACAGCAUUUUUAGGCAUGGAUGGGUGCUGGGUGCCUCCUUAAUCUGUUCUGUCGAGACCACACUAGACGUGAGUAAGCCUGAAAUCACCCAUAUUUUUCCCGUAUAUUCCAAAUUUUCUGUGUGGAAUACAGUCACAGGUGUCCAAUAUUCCCUGAAAUCUUUGGGAAAGCUCCCCCAGAACUUACCCUGUGGUUAUUUUCCUGGCACACGUGCAGAGGUAGAAUGGAUUCCUAGGAAACAAGCCCAGUUGACUGCUGAAAUAAGGACAGUUGUGAAUUCUGACAGGAAGAGUCAAGCUUGGAACUCUUUUUUCCUUCCCAAAUAGGAAGUCUGAAGCAUAUUUGCAGCCCCAAAUCCUGAGACAGGCAGGCAUUUCUCUUGUUGGGUGCUUCGAUGAGUAUUUCCUCAGUGCAGGGCUGAGAUCAAGAACCCGUAAGGAAGAACACUGUGCUGCCACAAAAGGGCCCAGUAAAGUGACGUUAAAAAGUCAGAGCUGCAUAAGCCCCAGCCACAGCAGUGCUCCACUGGUCACUCCACUAAUGGCUCACAGAUACCCAAUAAUCUUCCCCAAAUGUUGGGGCAUUUCGCCUCGCUGAGGGUAAGAACGCAGGUAAGUGGUUGGAAGUUUCUGGGAAGUUGUGUUCUAGUUCAUGCUCUUUCAUUUUUUCAUUUUAAUGCUGGCUGCCGGGGGAGAGAGGGUCUGGGAGUGGAAUUGUGCGUCUGGGAAAUCCAGAACAGAUAUAAACGUCAACCACGGCGGCUGCCCCUUCGCCCGUCACUCCCAGAGCCUGAGCCCUCGGGUGCUGGUGCUGGCUGACCCGCAGCUGCUCCUGUUGGGACUGCAGCACUCCUGCAGGAACCCAGGAGCCACGCUCAUCCCGCUUCUGCCGCUGCAGCUGCCGGAGGUGCCCCAGAAGCUGAGGGGAAACGUGGAGUCGCCUUCCCUCUGGCCUCAGAAACAGAUCUUUUGUCGGUGACUCCUAGGUUAUUGUCAUACUGGAAGCCAGCUGGCAGGGAAGUCUGGGAAAUGCAGUGUGCAGCCUCGAGCCUUCUGUGGAGCUGAGAGCUGUGGAUGAAUGACUGCUAGAGAAUGGCCUCAAAUUGAUACCAUUGACUAAGAAGAAUUACAUGCCACGUACAGUCAAACUGCGAAGGAAUUUCUGGAGGAGGCCAAGAUCUGCCCUGUGGUUCCACUUAUCUCCAGCAGAGGGCAGGCUCAUCAAGACAGUGACAAGGCCCUCAAAAAUGUAAAACUGAAAGAUAAGAUUGCAUGACUUUUGCCAAGUGGUGCCAUGUCUGCACCUGGGAUCCGAACUGGAGAACCUUGGGCCGUCAAGAAGUGGAACGUGUGAGCUUAACCACUGUGCCACCGGGCCGGCCGCAGGAUUUUUC
ensembl:lncRNA